rnacentral:rRNA from 1 species
AGACUCAGUGAAAUUGAACUCGCUGUGAAGAUGCAGUGUACCCGCGGCAAGACGGAAAGACCCCGUGAACCUUUACUAUAGCUUGACACUGAACAUUGAGCCUUGAUGUGUAGGAUAGGUGGGAGGCUUUGAAGCGUGGACGCCAGUCUGCGUGGAGCCGACCUUGAAAUACCACCCUUUAAUGUUUGAUGUUCUAACGUGGACCCGUAAUCCGGGUUGCGGACAGUGUCUGGUGGGUAGUUUGACUGGGGCGGUCUCCUCCUAAAGAGUAACGGAGGAGCACGAAGGUUGGCUAAUCCUGGUCGGACAUCAGGAGGUUAGUGCAAUGGCAUAAGCCAGCUUGACUGCGAGCGUGACGGCGCGAGCAGGUGCGAAAGCAGGUCAUAGUGAUCCGGUGGUUCUGAAUGGAAGGGCCAUCGCUCAACGGAUAAAAGGUACUCCGGGGAUAACAGGCUGAUACCGCCCAAGAGUUCAUAUCGACGGCGGUGUUUGGCACCUCGAUGUCGGCUCAUCACAUCCUGGGGCUGAAGUAGGUCCCAAGGGUAUGGCUGUUCGCCAUUUAAAGUGGUACGCGAGCUGGGUUUAGAACGUCGUGAGACAGUUCGGUCCCUAUCUGCCGUGGGCGCUGGAGAACUGAGGGGGGCUGCUCCUAGUACGAGAGGACCGGAGUGGACGCAUCACUGGUGUUCGGGUUGUCAUGCCAAUGGCACUGCCCGGUAGCUAAAUGCGGAAGAGAUAAGUGCUGAAAGCAUCUAAGCACGAAACUUGCCCCGA